GGCAUGCAUAUUAUUACCUUUAUAUGAAUAAGUUGUGGCUACAGCCUGCCAUAACUCAUAAGCAUUCGUCAGUGCCUCAAUCGUAUGAGCAACACAUUGUACCAUAGAGGCAAGGAGCCAUGCUACCACUCGAGAAUUAUUAGAAUUUCACUGUCUAACAGCUAUCACAUCUCCUUCUGGCCUUUUUGCAGUACCACUUAUAAACCCCUCA
rnacentral:lncRNA from 1 species